rnacentral:rRNA from 1 species
CCUACGGGAGGCAGCAGUGAGGAAUAUUGGUCAAUGGACGGAAGUCUGAACCAGCCAUGCCGCGUGCAGGAAGACGGCUCUAUGAGUUGUAAACUGCUUUUGUACAAGGGUAAACCUGAAUACGUGUAUUCAGCUGAAAGUACUGUACGAAUAAGCAUCGGCUAACUCCGUGCCAGCAGCCGCGGUAAUACGGAGGAUCCAAGCGUUAUCCGGAUUUAUUGGGUUUAAAGGGUGCGUAGGCGGAUUGAUAAGUUAGAGGGGAAAUGUCCGAGCUUAACUCGGGAACUGCCUCUAAUACUGUUGAUCUAGAGAGUAGAUGCGGUAGGCGGAAUGUAUGGUGUAGCGGUGAAAUGCUUAGAGAUCAUACAGAACACCGAUUGCGAAGGCAGCUUACCAAUCUAUAUCUGACGUUGAGGCACGAAAGCGUGGGGAGCAAACAGGAUUAGAUACCCCAGUAGUC